UAACUCAUGGUGUUGGGUUUCCUGGAAU
rnacentral:sRNA from 1 species